rnacentral:rRNA from 1 species
AUACGUAGGUGGCAAGCGUUGUCCGGAAUUAUUGGGCGUAAAGCGCGCGCAGGUGGUUCCUUAAGUCUGAUGUGAAAGCCCCCGGCUCAACCGGGGAGGGUCAUUGGAAACUGGGGGACUUGAGUGCAGAAGAGGAAAGUGGAAUUCCAAGUGUAGCGGUGAAAUGCGUAGAGAUUUGGAGGAACACCAGUGGCGAAGGCGACUUUCUGGUCUGUAACUGACGCUGAGGCGCGAAAGCGUGGGGAGCAAACAAGAUUAGAUACCCUGGUAGUCCACGCCGUAAACGAUGAGUGCUAAGUGUUAGGGGGUUUCCGCCCCUCAGUGCUGCGGCUAACGCAUUAAGCACUCCGCCUGGGGAGUACGGUCGCAAGACUGAAACUCAAAUGAAUUGACGGGG